rnacentral:rRNA from 1 species
CCUACGGGAGGCUGCAGUGAGGAAUAUUGGUCAAUGGGCGCGAGCCUGAACCAGCCAAGUAGCGUGAAGGAUGACUGCCCUACGGGUUGUAAACUUCUUUUAUAAAGGAAUAAAGUGAGGCACGUGUGCCUUUUUGUAUGUACUUUAUGAAUAAGGAUCGGCUAACUCCGUGCCAGCAGCCGCGGUAAUACGGAGGAUCCGAGCGUUAUCCGGAUUUAUUGGGUUUAAAGGGAGCGUAGAUGGGUUGUUAAGUCAGUUGUGAAAGUUUGCGGCUCAACCGUAAAAUUGCAAUUGAUACUGGCAGUCUUGAGUACAGUUGAGGUAGGCGGAAUUCGUGGUGUAGCGGUGAAAGGCAUAGAUAUCACGCAGAACCCCGAUGCGAAGGCAGCAUGCCGGCUUCCGACUGACGCUGAAGCACGAAAGCGUGGGGAUCGAACAGGAUUAGAUACCCGAGUAGUC